GCCCCGGUAGCUCAGUGGUAGAGCGCUGCCUAGAUAAGGGAGAGGCCAGGGGUUCGAAUCCUUUCUGGGGCA
rnacentral:tRNA from 1 species